AAGGAUCAUUACCGAGUGCGGGCCCUCGCGGCCCAACCUCCCACCCUUGUCUCUAUACACCUGUUGCUUUGGCGGGCCCACCGGGGCCACCUGGUCGCCGGGGGACGCACGUCCCCGGGCCCGCGCCCGCCGAAGCGCUCUGUGAACCCUGAUGAAGAUGGGCUGUCUGAGUACUAUGAAAAUUGUCAAAACUUUCAACAAUGGAUCUCUUGGUUCCGGCAUCGAUGAAGAACGCAGCGAAAUGCGAUAAGUAAUGUGAAUUGCAGAAUUCCGUGAAUCAUCGAAUCUUUGAACGCACAUUGCGCCCCCUGGCAUUCCGGGGGGCAUGCCUGUCCGAGCGUCAUUUCUGCCCUCAAGCACGGCUUGUGUGUUGGGUGUGGUCCCCCCGGGGACCUGCCCGAAAGGCAGCGGCGACGUCCGUCUGGUCCUCGAGCGUAUGGGGCUCUGUCACUCGCUCGGGAAGGACCUGCGGGGGUUGGUCACCACCAUAUUUUACCACGGUUGACCUCGGAUCAGGUAGGAGUUACCCGCUGAACUUAAGCAUAUCAAUAA
rnacentral:rRNA from 1 species